AACGAACGCUGGCGGCAUGCCUAACACAUGCAAGUCGAACGAGACCUCCGGGUCUAGUGGCGCACGGGUGCGUCACGCGUGGGAACCUGCCCUUAGGUUCGGAAUAACUCCCCUAAAGGGGUGCUAAUACCGGAUAAUGUCUUCGGACCAAAGAUUUAUCGUCUUUGGAUGGGCCCGCGUUGGAUUAGCUAGUUGGUAGGGUAAAAGCCUACCAAGGCGUCGAUCCAUAGCUGGUCUGAGAGGAUGAGCAGCCACACUGGGAGUGAGACACGGCCCAGACUCCUACGGGAGGCAGCAGUGGGGAAUAUUGGAAAAUGGGCGAAAGGCUGAACCAGCAAUGCCGCGUGAGUGAUGAAGGCCUUAGGGUUGUAAAGCUCGUUUACCCGGGAUGAUAAUGACAGUACCGGGAGAAUAAGCACCGGCUAACUCCGUG
rnacentral:rRNA from 1 species